CGAGGGGCGGCGGGCUAGUAACCAUAGCGGCUCGCGUGGGUCGGCUGGCAAGUAACCAUAGCGGCGAGCGUGGGGCGGAGUGUGGCUCGGUAGUCCUCUGCGUGCCCUCCUGGGAGCUGGGUGCUGUGAGUCCUCCCCUAGCGGGCUGGUCUCGGCGCGGAGUCGGCGCCGAACCCGAGCUGCUGCUCUGGGGCGUGUGCCUAGGGCGCAGGGCUGGAGCGCGGGGGCUGCGCGGUUGCUCGCGGCUCCGCUGAGGUCUCUAGGAAAGGGGGCGAUUUGAGGGUUCCGCCGUGACCGCUUCCAACGGCGGACACGCGCGCUCUGGACCAGAGCCGUUGCCCGCUGUCUCGUCACCCGAAGCCUCCUCCUGACGCCGUGCUAGUGCGAGGGUCUCCAGGGGAAUUCGGGGCACAAGUCGGGCCGGAGCAUCCGGGCGGCCGCUUGAGAUCGGCGCUUUGAGAACUGAGCGCAUGUGGAGUUCGGAGGAAAAGGGCUCAGCAUCCACAUCCUGUUUGGGCAAAAGCACCUGGAUUUCCUCUGGGCUACCACCCUUCUCCCUCUGCUGGCCGGGACUCAGUGGAGAGGUCUCUGUCCCAGGCCUGACUUCUUGGCAUCAUUUCAUCCUUCUGAUUACGUGAUUAAUUCAAACAUGGAAAGUGUCUCAGACUGGCCCAGACUCAUGAGAAAUGUUCAAGGAUCAAUGGAAAGAGAUGCUUUCUUCCGCAGCGCCCUGCAACGGUGGGAGGCCACACUCAGAUUGAAGAUGGAAAAUCCCCAAGACAUUUUCUCAAGUAAUGGUGGCUGUCUAAGUGAUAUAGUUAUAGAAAAAUACCUGGUUGAAUCCAAGGAGUCUGUGUCUCAUGUUCAGCUUGCUUGCAGCAUGCAGGACUGUGCUUUCCCUUUGGAUGGAACUGAACUUUGUAUAUGGAACACUAAGGAUCCUUCUCAUCAGCUUCUAAUCCUACGAGGACACCAUCAGCCAAUUACUGCUAUGGCUUUUGGAAAUAAAGUGAACCCACUUCUAAUC
rnacentral:lncRNA from 10 species